GACGAACGCUGGCGGCGUGCUUAACACAUGCAAGUCGAACGGAAAGGCCUCUUUCGGGGGGUACUCGAGUGGCGAACGGGUGAGUAACACGUGAGUACCCUGCCCUUUACUUUGGGAUAACUUCAGGCAACUGGGGCUAAAACCGGAUAGGAGCUCCUGCUGCCUGGUGGGGGUUGGAAAGUUUCGGCGGUUGGGGAUGGACUCGCGGCUUAUCCGCUUGUUGGUGUGGUAGUGGCUUACCAAGGCUUUGACGGGUAGCCGGCCUGAGAGGGUGACCGGCGACAUUGAGACUGAGAUACGGCCCAGACUCCUACGGGAGGCAGCAGGGGGGAAGAUUGCACAAUGGGUGGAAGCCGGAUGCAGCAACGCCGUGUGCGGGAUGACGGCCUUCGGGUUGUAAACCGCGUUCGCUCAUGAAGAAGCUUUGUGUGACGGUAGUGGGUAAAGAAGCACCGGCUAACUACGUG
rnacentral:rRNA from 1 species